rnacentral:rRNA from 1 species
AACGCGAAGAACCUUACCCAGGCUUGACAUCCUUGGAAUUUCUGCGAAAGCAGAGAGUGCUUUAUUGAGCCAAGUGACAGGUGUUGCAUGGCCGUCGUCAGCUCGUGUCGUGAGAUGUUUGGUUAAGUCCAUCAACGAGCGCAACCCUUAUGUUUAGUUGAAUUUUUCUAGACAGACUGCCCUGGUAACAGGGAGGAAGGAGGGGAUGAUGUCAGGUCAGUAUUACCCUUACGCCUGGGGCUACAGACACGCUACAAUGGCCAGUACAAAGGGCAGCCAAGUCGCAAGACGGAGCAAAUCCCAUCAAAGCUGGUCUCAGUUCGGAUUGCAGGCUGAAACCCGCCUGCAUGAAGCUGGAAUCGCUAGUAACGGUAGGUCAGCACACUACCGUGAAUACGUUCCCGGGCCUUGUACACACCGGACACGC